rnacentral:piRNA from 1 species
UUGCUACCAUUGUGUUCUUGAGUAGAUAG